rnacentral:rRNA from 1 species
AACGAACGCUGGCGGCAUGCCUAACACAUGCAAGUCGAACGAGACCUUCGGGUCUAGUGGCGCACGGGUGCGUAACGCGUGGGAACCUGCCCUUAGGUUCGGAAUAACUCCCCGAAAGGGGUGCUAAUACCGGAUAAUGUCUUCGGACCAAAGAUUUAUCGCCUUUGGAUGGGCCCGCGUUGGAUUAGCUAGUUGGUAGGGUAAAAGCCUACCAAGGCGACGAUCCAUAGCUGGUCUGAGAGGAUGAUCAGCCACACUGGGACUGGGACACGGCCCAUACUCCGACGGGAGGCAGCAGUGGGUAAUAUAGGACAAGGGGCGAAAGCCUGAUCCAGCACGGCCGCGUGAGUGAUGAAGGCCUUAGGGUUGUAAAGCUCUUUUACCCGGGAUGAUAAUGACAGUACCGGGAGAAUAAGCUCCGGCUAACUCCGU